rnacentral:misc_RNA from 1 species
UUAGUUAAAAAGUUAUAAUGGAAGCCAAUGACCAAACUAAUGAAAAGUUAACUUCUUUAAAGUCAAUUGUGGAAUCUAUAUCACCAAAAAGAGUUAUAUCUUUGAAAGAGCAGAUAGCUUGCAAACAGGAUGAGUUAGAAAAAUGGAAAGCAAUACUUGACGUUGCUGAGAAAAGAACAAAAAGAUUUUUUAACAGUUUUUCAGGUAUGAAAUACCUGAAAAAGAUUUAUUUCUUAGGAUUUUAUGUUUCAAAUAAUAUAAUACUUUUGCAUUAUUUGUUUCAUUUAAAUUUUUUCAUGCACUUUUAUUUUUUCUCUGGUGAUCUUUUUUUUUUGAUUAAUUUGUUUAUAAACUAAUUCACACUAAACAAUGCUGCAUAUCUUACAGUAUGUUUAAUAGUUCAAUGUUGUAUUGUUCAAGAAUACUUAUAAAGGACUGGAACAUUGUCUAGACCACAAAUGUUUUUUAUGUGAGAAAUAUCUUAAGCAACGGAAUCAAGAGUAAUUUGGAUGUCUAUCAGUGGAUUAACUGGUUAUGCUGGAAUGACAGCCAGAGUUUGAUCAUAAGAAUCAAGAAACAAAAUAAAGGAAAAGUUCUUUGUAAAUAGUUUUUGCUUUAUCUUUGAGAGAGAUACUUAAAGUAGAGGUAGAAUGUUAGAUGUUGGCUACUCUGAUGAUAUUUCCCAAAAGUUUAUAGAACUUAAAUUUCUGAAAUAAGAUUCCACAUUUGGUUAUCUGGGACAAUGACCUUUAGUGUCAGACAAGACCUUUUUUUGAUCAAUUUUUGCAAUGAUAAAAGAAUCUUUUUUUAAGAAUCUUUUCCCUUUAAAAAAUGAUCAAGAAUACCAGUAACAACUGCACAAAUAGGGAAAAGCCUUCGGAUAGAGUGAAGCUUGACUUGAAACCGAAAUAAACACUUCUAUCCCUUUCUCAAUCCAGGAGAUAGUAGGUAAUUGUUAGAAGUUUUAUUUAUUGCUAUGAAGAUUUAUUGGAUUUUUUACUUUGUGAUAGUGUAAUUGUAAUUAGAUUAUUUUAAAUAUGUAUAUUUUAAAAAUAGUUGCUGUUGAUGAUAAAGAUUAUAAAGGUAUUUAAAUUAAUAUUGGUUUUAUGUUUACUAAGUUAACAUCUUUUACUCAUUAUACCUCUAUUAAAGCAUUAAUAAUUAUGAUUCAAGAUUUGUGUAGUUUUAUUUGAUAACAUUUCUAUGCGUUUCGUUUAUCUUUAGAGAGAGAAGUCUUGAAACAAUUGGGUUGUUACACUUACAGUGUUUAUUAUACAACUUACUUAUUAUAUUGAAUUUUUUAAUUUAAUUAAUUUUGUUUUUUGUUUUAAUUUAACUCUUCUUUUUUAAUGAAACCUGUUCAUAUUCAGAAGCCAAGGAAGAUGAAAUUGCUUUAAAAAAAAUGCAAAUGAAGCAAGAAAUACUCAAUGAGGAAAUAGUUCGCAAACAGGAUGAGUUAGGACCACAAGAAAAGAUUUGCGAACCAAAAAAGAAACAACUUACGCGGGACGAUUUUCUAAGUUGGCGACGAGAGCACGACGGGCCAAAAUCUCGUAGUGCCUUCAAGGUUUGGCGACGCAAUGGCGGUAGAGAUUUUGAAAAUUUCCGUAACAACUCACGUCGUGGAGGUGGUCGAGGCGGUCGGGAAAGAGGCGUCGCGGUGAAUCACUAUUACUAAUUUUAAAUAUAGUAUAUAAAUGCGAAAAA